GGAUAUCUGUGCAUCCCCAAGUUUAUUCUCAGAAAAAAACCGUCUUAAUUUGGGGAAGCAAGGAAUUCUGGGAGACUGCUGGUUCAUAUGUGCUUGCACAGCACUGCAGAAAUACGAUCGACUUCUUGGUCAGGGAUCGCGACGCCAUCCUGAGGCUGAUGCGCACUAAAGAAGACCUACACGUCGGAGAUGCCAAGAUUAUGAUCUAUCCGGAUUAUACUAUGGAAGUCCAGCGGCAAAGAGCCAAAUAUGCAGAGGUCCGGAAGAAGCUCAGGGAUAAAGGCAUUCUCUAUUCUACAAUUUUUCCAGCCAAGCUACGAGUGGUGGACGGCAACAACACCAGAUUUUUUGUGACGCCACAGGAGGCCAUGGACUGGCUGGAAUGGCGAUAAGGCCCUCCUGCAUCCUGCUCACCCCUUGGGGUGUACCUACCCUUUGGGGUUUCUGUCCACUCUUCAGAUGCGGACUUGUGGCCUUGGGUUCGUGAGUAUAUACCCUCCUUCCAUGGGGUACCAAGCUGUGUUCCUAUUUACUGACCACCACUCAUGUCUUCAAUGGAUAGUCUCUCAUUGUUACCAACUGUUUUUUCUGUGGGGACACUCACCAAAACCCGGAGGACUGGGGGCCUGUGCUUAUGUUGAGUAUUUUGUUUAACUACAUAGUGUUUAUGCUAUAGUCGCCAUGUCCCUGGCGAUGGCUAUUAAGGUUUUGUUAGGGGUCGAGGCCCACCCCAGUUUACAGGGUGGGCAGGGCGGGCUAGGGUGUUGUGGGACUUCCCCAGGUUUUUUCCCCUUUCGCCCCCACUCCCUUAUUUACUCGUGCAGCAGCGAGGUUUUGACAUACAGUAGCAUUUUUCUAUUUGAUUAUGGCUAAGGUUACUUUGGUUUCAUGGAAUAUCAGAGGCCUUAGUGAUAAAAUUAAGAGGGCACUCCUAUUCAAUGCAUUGAAACAAUGGUCCCCGGCGAUUGUAUGCCUUCAGGAAACCCACUUAACAGGCCAAAAAGUCCUAUCGCUGAAAAGGGCGUGGGUCGCUCAGGCGUACCACGCUACCUUUUCCACUCAUGCAAGAGGGGUCUCCAUUCUAGUCAGGAGGGGCCUUCAUUUUUCGCUUCAUCACAUUCAUGUGGACCACUAUGGUAGAUAUCUUAUCAUGCACUGUACUAUUUACUCCUUUGAAUUUAUAUUGGUCAAUCUGUAUGUACCCCCUCCCUUCACAACGGACCUUCUGGAUACGGUAAUGCGGAAGGUGGCGGCUCUUCCAUUGGUCCCUCAGUGCUGGGUGGGUGAUUUCAAUAGUGGCAUGACCCCUGUGUUGGAUAGGCUUAAUUCGGCUGAUACCAAACCAACUAAAUUGAAGGCCUGGUCGGACUCAAUGGGGCUUCAGGAUGUCUGGAGGGCCAGACAUCCUGGGACUAAAGUUUUUUCCUGUCAUUCCGCCUCACACCAAACUCUUUCGAGAAUAGAUAUGGCCCUGCUGUCCUCCGAGAUGGCUAACAAAAUUGGGCACAUUCAGUAUGGUGCCAGGUCCAUUUCCGACCAUUCUCCCUUAAUUGUCACUAUACAACCUUAUGCAGGGUCCGGGGAUAGAAGGUGGAGGCUCAGCCCCUUGUGGCUCACACAAAAAGAGGUGGCGGAUAAAGUUUGCGAGACGGCAGAAACUUAUUGGGAUGAAAAUCAGGGUUCAGCCUCCCCUUCUGUGCUAUGGGAUGCGUUUAAGGCGGUCUCGAGGGGUGCCCUGAUUCAAUCCAUUAGUAGAGUGAGGACUGAGGCCAAACGGGAGGUUCAGCAGGCAUCUUGGGAGUUGGAGGCGGCGGAAUUGGCGUAUGUUGAGGCCCCCUCCCCUGACUUACAUAAUGGCUUGAUGCAGGCCCACACUAAACUGCAAUGUAAAAUGACAGCUGUUACCCAGAAAAAGCUACUAUAUGCUUCCCAGCGGGGGUUUGAGCAAGGUGACAAGUCGGGCAAACUGUUAGCCUAUCUAUCCAGAGUUACCAAUCCGCAAACAAUCAUUCAUAGGGUAAUAUCUGCUACCGGGCAUCCGAUUACGGAUCCGCGUGAAGUAGCAGACGUAUUUGUUGAGUACUUUACCAAUCUGUAUUGUUCCCAGGUGUCUUACACUGAGGCCCAGCUAACAGAAUUUUUAUUGGAUAUUCCCCUGCCUACUUUACACCCUUCACAUGUAGCUUUACUUGACAGUCCCAUUACACCAGGUGAAAUCCGUGAAGCUAUAGCCUCUAUGACUCCAGCCAAGGCCCCGGGUCCAGAUGGGCUACCCCUGGAGUGGUACCGUACCUUGGGGGAGAAAACACCGGCCACACUCUGUGAAAUUUUGAAUCAGGCCAACCAAGCCAGUAAACUCCCGCCCUCCUUUGCUAAUGCGCUUAUUGUUUUGAUCCAUAAGGAAGGGAAAGAUCCAGAACAAUGCGGUUCUUACCGUCCCAUCUCCUUAAUAAAUGUAGAUGCCAAAAUCCUGGCAAAGGUGCUGGCGGUCAGAUUGCAACAGGUUAUUACUCAGUUAAUUGAACCUUACCAGACCGGUUUUAUGCCCAAGAGGUCCACAGAUGUUAAUUUAAGAUGGCUUUAUUAUAAUUUGCAGGUCCCUCAUGACAACCUGGGAUCCAGUGUGGUAGUUUCUUUAGACUCCGAAAAGGCGUUUGAUUCUAUUGAAUGGCCAUACUUGUGGGCAGUGUUGGAGUCCUUUUGGUUUUGGUAA